rnacentral:rRNA from 1 species
CGUGGUACGGGGCUCAGCAGUUUGGAAUCUUGCACCCUUUUUUCAACCCUGAUGCAGCGACGCCGCGUGAGUGAAGAAGUAUUUCGGUAUGUAAAGCUCUAUCAGCAGGGAAGAAAAUGACGGUACCUGACUAAGAAGCCCCGGCUAACUACGUGCCAGCAGCCGCGGUAAUACGUAGGGGGCAAGCGUUAUCCGGAUUUACUGGGUGUAAAGGGAGCGUAGACGGCGGAACAAGUCAGAAGUGAAAACCCGGGGCUCAACCCUGGGAGGGCUUUUGAAACUGUUUGGCUGGAGUGCAGGAGAGG